rnacentral:lncRNA from 1 species
CUGGUUGGAUCUCGAAGUGGCACUAAUAAGAGGUAGAUCAGUAGUGUAGAAUUUUUUUUUUCAACUAAUGGCGUUUAUUAUGAUGAGCUUGUUUUGAUAUCGUUGAUAUGGAUUUAAGUCAUGUGAUCUUGGGGAGGCCUUGGAAACAUUAUAACCAAGUAUUGUAUAAAGAGAAAGAAAACUCCUACAUCUUCCACAAGGAUGAAAAAAAGAUUGUUCUUGUCCCCUUG